rnacentral:tRNA from 3 species
UGGGAUGUAGUGUAAUGGUAACACUGCAGAUUCUGGUUCUGCCUUUGGGGGUUCGAAUCCCUCCAUCCCAGGCA